GGGUGCUUAGCUCAGGGGUAGAGUGCCUCGUUCACAUCGAGGAGGUCGCUGGUUCAAAUCCAGCAGCACCCACCA
rnacentral:tRNA from 1 species